rnacentral:rRNA from 1 species
ACGUCAAAUCAUCAUGCCCCUUAUGUUCUGGGCUACACACGUGCUACAAUGGCCGGUACAGACGGACGCAAAGCCGCGAGGUGGAGCAAAUCCUAAAAAGCCGGUCUCAGUUCGGAUUGCAGGCUGCAAUUCGCCUGCAUGAAGUCGGAAUCGCUAGUAAUCGCAGGUCAGCAUACUGCGGUGAAUACGUUCCCGGCCUU